AGGGUUUGAUCAUGGCUCAGGAUGAACGCUAGCGGCAGGCCUAACACAUGCAAGUCGAGGGGCAGCAUAGAAUUAGUUUACUAAUUUGGUGGCGACCGGCGCACGGGUGCGUAACGCGUAUGCAACCUACCUUGUACUGGGGUAUAGCCCGGAGAAAUUCGGAUUAAUCCCCCAUAGUAUUAAUAAGCCGCAUGGUUUACUAAUUAAAGGUUACGGUACAAGAUGGGCAUGCGUCCUAUUAGCUAGAUGGUGAGGUAACGGCUCACCAUGGCUACGAUAGGUAGGGGGCCUGAGAGGGUGGUCCCCCACACUGGUACUGAGACACGGACCAGACUCCUACGGGAGGCAGCAGUGAGGAAUAUUGGUCAAUGGGCGCAAGCCUGAACCAGCCAUGCCGCGUGCAGGAAGAAUGCCCUAUGGGUUGUAAACUGCUUUUAUUUAGGAAUAAACUUUCUGGUCGUGCACCGGAGCUGAAGGUACCAAAUGAAUAAGCACCGGCUAACUCCGUGCCAGCAGCCGCGGUAAUACGGAGGGUGCAAGCGUUAUCCGGAAUCCUUGGGUUUUAAAGGGUCC
rnacentral:rRNA from 1 species